CCUACGGGCGGCAGCAGUGAGGAAUAUUGGUCAAUGGACGAGAGUCUGAACCAGCCAAGUAGCGUGAAGGAUGACUGCCCUAUGGGUUGUAAACUUCUUUUAUAUGGGAAUAAAACGUUCCACGUGUGGGAUUUUGUAUGUACCAUAUGAAUAAGGAUCGGCUAACUCCGUGCCAGCAGCCGCGGUAAUACGGAGGAUCCGAGCGUUAUCCGGAUUUAUUGGGUUUAAAGGGAGCGUAGGUGGAUUGUUAAGUCAGUUGUGAAAGUUUGCGGCUCAACCGUAAAAUUGCAGUUGAAACUGGCAGUCUUGAGUACAGUAGAGGUGUGCGGAAUUCGUGGUGUAGCGGUGAAAUGCUUAGAUAUCACGAAGAACUCCGAUUGCGAAGGCAGUUCACUGGACUGCAACUGACACUGAUGCUCGAAAGUGUGGGUAUCAAACAGGAUUAGAUACCCCUGUAGUC
rnacentral:rRNA from 1 species